UGAGCUGCACGCAGUUGAUGGUUAAGAAGAGCUUGGCUAAUUCAGUCAGCUUGGUUCUCUCUGCCCUGCUCUGACUGACAGGCCAGGCCCCUGCUCAUCCCUGAAAACUAGCAUCAGGGAAUGACAUACAGUUUGAUAACAUAAGAUGCUUAGGUUUUUUGGCUCAAGUGAGAUGUUCAGAGCUAAUAGCCCUGUGAGCUGAGUUUUAGCUGCGAUCUGCACCUUGAGAUAUCCGUUAUGUCUGGCUCAGGAAAAAGGGGAAAGAAUGAGAGCUUAUUUCUAGAAAGGUUUCCGAUGAGCAGCAUUUGUCAUUGAAGGGGAAGAUGGGUAUAAUUAGCUUGUCAGUCUAGUUUGGGCUGAGCAGGCUGUCUCUGCUAAGAAAGAUGGACUAACUGCCAGAGCCACUGACAGGCAGUCGAUAGCGCAGCAAUUAAUGUCAUAAAUAAUUCCAGAACCAAUUACAUCAAAAUGGACUCGGAGCUUUAAAAAGCAACAGAAACAUGAGGUCGGUCCAGCCUGGGGCAGUUUCUCUCCAAGAGAAGAUGGAGGAAGCACAGCUAAGUGACUGGAAAUUGGACAUGCCUUCAUGUCAAGAGAUACCUGUACCUCUUGGAAACAACAAGCCCUUUGUGGUACCUCAGUGGGAUCAUCAGUGGGGCAUGGCCCUCUCUUGGACAACGUUCUCAUGCUGCUUUGCAAAGAGAAUAUAUAACAGGAUUUGUACAGGGCUGCAAAUGCUGAAGAUGACAGUUAAGGAAAAUGAAAACUCCAUAAAAGGUAUGGGAUAA
rnacentral:lncRNA from 1 species